ACAGUUUUGUUAACUUUCUAUUCUUUAAACUUUUUCAAUUCGUGGCGACCAGUUUUAUAGUAACUGAAUUAAUAUUUCUAGUAUUCAAUUUAUCUGGACCUUUCUCAAGGAUAUGUCCAGAAACUUCAACUUAUGUAAAGAGGAAUCAUAGUAUCUAUCUUCUAGUAGAGGGAAAUACAUUGGAAUCCAACGCCAGAUAACGUCAAAUAAAAGAUUGAAAUGUAAUUGAAAACCAAAUCCCGAC
rnacentral:lncRNA from 1 species